CUCUCUUUGUGCGGAAAAUGGUUACAGCACCUUGCUUUCGAAGCAGGAAAUAUUGGUUCGAAUCCAAUAAGGGAGC
rnacentral:tRNA from 1 species